AAGAUAGAGGCGCGGGUUUAAAGAGUAGCAUUAACGCCAAUAUUUCAACAUAUUGUUAAUGUGAAAGGUAAGACCGCCGAGGAAUGUAUAGGUUGAAAUAUGCAUAUCCGGUCGUGCAUUGAAUAAGUGUACGAUUGUCAUUAAGCCGUCAGGCGUAAUGGAGAGCUAUCG
rnacentral:ncRNA from 1 species